rnacentral:lncRNA from 1 species
UAUAACUUAGAUAGUUUAUAUAGUUUAGUUUUUGGGUAUUUUAGUUAACUAUCAUAUUUUGAUUUGGCUUUAUGAAUGUAAUAAAAAGGAUUCGUGGUUUUCGUAAAUAAAAGGUUUUCUAUCCCUCGUGGUAGCGUUUUAAAGAAUAAGAUUUUCGUGUAGGAAACAGUUUUCAAAAGAAUUUUUUUGUGGAUUUAUGUUUAAAUAUUGAAUGUAUAACUGUGAUGUGAAUGGUGAAUGAAUGAUUGCAUAGUCGUUUUUAUAUUCAUUUGGUUGUGGUUGUACUUGGGUUACUUCUUAUACUUGUGCGACGCCGUGCAAAUACAGGGGAGACUCUGUCCGUGUGAACAGUGAAUUCCCUGUAUUUGUGGCGAAUCUUGCAUUCCCUGGGGUUAGAUUUUCAAAAACAAAAAAAAAUUCUGUGGUGUUUUUAACCUAAAGGGACCCCGGGGCGUGACACCAUGCUGCAGACCACGCUUUUGAAACUCUAUAGUGUAGACAACUGCAGUUUAAAAAAAAACCAUUACUAUCAUAUAAAUAUUAUUUAUAUAAUAUACUUGACUACAAUAUGAAAAACAAAAGUGACUAAACAAUGGGAUGAAAAUAUCCAAAGGAAUAAACAAUGGGAUGAAAACAAAAUAUUGAAAACAAAAUUUGGUUGAAGACUUACCAGCUUUUACCUUGCCAAAAAAUUGCUUUUUCUUNUCGUACAUCCGACCCGUGAGCCCAGCGGUGUUCUCUUUGUGCUAGGGUUACAUGCCAGGUGUGAGCAGGUAGUGGCUUUUGCCUGAGGUCCUUAGACCGACACGGCGGUUUAGAUUGGGUACUUUUGGACUUCUCGUCCGGUUGACGCAUAUAGCUAUAAUAGCGGUUGUUGCAUACAUACUUACAGUUCUUUCUUUACAGUUGUCUUACUACUAUAGUUUUGAUAUCCUUGUAUGCUUGCAGUUGUACAUUACAGUAGCGGUAGUUGUGCUUUCAUAUAUAUAUCUCAUUCGUUCAUUAUUAUUGCUACUGUAUUUUCCACUGACCCGUACUAUUGUUUAGCUCUUCCUGAUCCGGUGAGUACUCCUCGCCUUCAUCGGCUUGCAGUACCCACUGGGAGGGGAGACAUGUUUACAUGUUCUCGCAUCCCCCACUAUUUUUCAGGUAUCACGGACGGUGAAGGUUGAGACGAGACGUGAGAUACAUACGUAGCGGUCGAUACAGCUUCCAACCCAGGUUAUUCGGUUUAGUUUCUACCCUUACUAUCCUGUUGUUAUAACUUAGAUAGUUUAUAUAGUUUAGUUUUUGGGUAUUUUAGUUAACUAUCAUAUUUUGAUUUGGCUUUAUGAAUGUAAUAAAAAGGAUUCGUGGUUUUCGUAAAUAAAAGGUUUUCUACCCCUCGUGGUAGCGUUUUUAAAGAAUAAAAGUUUUCGUGUAGGAAACAGUUUUCAAAAGAAUUUUUUUGUGGAUUUAUGUUUAAAUAUUGAAUGUAUAACUGUGAUGUGAAUGGUGAAUGAAUGAUUGCAUAGUCGUUUUUAUAUUCAUUUGGUUGUGGUUGUACUUGGGUUACUUCUUGU